AGCGAACGCUGGCGGCAGGCCUAACACAUGCAAGUCGAACGAACCCUUCGGGGUUAGUGGCGGACGGGUGAGUAACACGUGGGAACGUGCCUUUAGGUUCGGAAUAACUCAGGGAAACUUGUGCCAAUACCGAAUGUGCCCUUCGGGGGAAAGAUUUAUCGCCUUUAGAGCGGCCCGCGUCUGAUUAGCUAGUUGGUGAGGUAAUGGCUCACCAAGGCUACGAUCAGUAGCUGGUCUGAGAGGAUGACCAGCCACAUUGGGACUGAGACACGGCCCAAACUCCUACGGGAGGCAGCGGUGGGGAAUCUUGCGCAAUGGGCGAAAGCCUGACGCAGCCAUGCCGCGUGGAUGAUGAAGGUCUUAGGAUUGUAAAAUCCUUUCACCGGUGAAGAUAAUGACUGUAGCCGGAGAAGAAGCCCCGGCUAACUUCGUGCCAGCCGCCGCAGUAAAAC
rnacentral:rRNA from 1 species